rnacentral:rRNA from 1 species
GGGGCCCUGAGAGGGGGGUCCCCCACACUGGUACUGAGACACGGACCAGACUCCUACGGGAGGCAGCGGUGAGGAAUAUUGGACAAUGGGCGAGAGCCUGAUCCAGCCAUGCCGCGUGCGGGAAGAAGGCCCUACGGGUCGUAAACCGCUUUCAUACGGGAAGAAACCCACCUACGUGUAGGUGGCUGACGGUACCGUAAGAAUAAGGACCGGCUAACUCCGUGCCAGCGGCCGCGGUAAUACGGAGGGUCCGAGCGUUAUCCGGAAUUAUUGGGUUUAAAGGGUCCGUAGGCGGGCCGUUAAGUCAGGGGUGAAGUACUACGGCUCAACCGUGGAACUGCCCUUGAUACUGGCGGUCUUGAAUUAUAGUGAAGUUGCCGGAAUAUGUAGUGUAGCGGUGAAAUGCAUAGAUAUUACAUAGAACACCGAUUGCGAAGGCAGGUGACUAACUGUACAUUGACGCUGAUGGACGAAAGCGUGGGUAGCGAACGGGAUUAGAUACCCCGGUAGUCCACGCCGUAAACGAUGGAUACUAGCUGUCCGGGGCCUUGAGUCCUGGGCGGCCAAGCGAAAGUGAUAAGUAUCCCACCUGGGGAGUACGUUCGCAAGAAUGAAACUCAAAGGAAUUGACGGGGGCCCGCACAAGCGGUGGAGCAUGUGGUUUAAUUCGAUGAUACGCGAGGAACCUUACCAGGGCUUAAAUGCAUUAUGACAGGUCUAGAGAUAGAUUUUCCUUCGGGCAUUUUGCAAGGUGCUGCAUGGUUGUCGUCAGCUCGUGCCGUGAGGUGUCAGGUUAAGUCCUAUAACGAGCGCAACCCCUGCCGCUAGUUGCCAGCAUGUAAUGAUGGGGACUCUAGCGGGACUGCCGGUGCAAACCGUGAGGAAGGUGGGGAUGACGUCAAAUCAUCACGGCCCUUACGUCCUGGGCCACACACGUGCUACAAUGGCCGGUACAGCGGGUAGCCAUGCGGUAACGCAGAGCGGAUCCACAAAACCGGUCACAGUUCGGAUCGGGGUCUGCAACUCGACCCCGUGAAGCUGGAAUCGCUAGUAAUCGGAUAUCAGCCAUGAUCCGGUGAAUACGUUCCCGGGCCUUGUACACACCGCCCGUCAAGCCAUGGAAGCCGGGAGUGCCUGAAGUCCGUCGCCGUAAGGAGCGGCCUAGGGCAAGAUCGGUAACUAGGGCUAAGUCGUAACAAGGUA